ACACCCGUUUUAUUGCUGUUAGUGGGUUGAAACCGAGCUUAGCCUUGUUCAUUUUUUUACACAAUAGGCAUGUAAAAAAUUGAACACACCCCAAUGAGCACCGCGCCAGGCAUGGCUCCGCGCGGGGUAGCACUGCCCUGAAACGCCCUGAAAAUGGCCACGACGCGCUUUUUUAGGGCAA
rfam:Pseudomonadales bacterium RIFCSPLOWO2_02_FTLL_63_210 rifcsplowo2_02_scaffold_293409, whole genome shotgun sequence.